rnacentral:rRNA from 1 species
AGUGAACGCUGGCGGUAGGCCUAACACAUGCAAGUCGAGCGGCAGCACAGUAAGAGCUUGCUCUUACGGGUGGCGAGUGGCGGACGGGUGAGGAAUACAUCGGAAUCUACUUUUUCGUGGGGGAUAACGUAGGGAAACUUACGCUAAUACCGCAUACGACCUACGGGUGAAAGCAGGGGAUCUUCGGACCUUGCGCGAUUGAAUGAGCCGAUGUCGGAUUAGCUAGUUGGCGGGGUAAAGGCCCACCAAGGCGACGAUCCGUAGCUGGUCUGAGAGGAUGAUCAGCCACACUGGAACUGAGACACGGACCAGACUCCUACGGGAGGCAGCAGUGGGGAAUAUUGGACAAUGGGCGCAAGCCUGAUCCAGCCAUACCGCGUGGGUGAAGAAGGCCUUCGGGUUGUAAAGCCCUUUUGUUGGGAAAGAAAAGCAGCAGGUUAAUACCCCGCUGUUCUGACGGUACCCAAAGAAUAAGCACCGGCUAACUUCGUG